UUCUGGCUCAGGAUGAACGCUAGCGACAGGCUUAACACAUGCAAGUCGAGGGGCAGCAUAAAAGUAGCAAUACUUGGUGGCGACCGGCGCACGGGUGAGUAACGCGUAUGCAACCUACCUAUCAGAGGGGAAUAACCCGGCGAAAGUCGGACUAAUACCGCAUAAAACAGGGGCACCGCAUGGUGAUAUUUGUUAAAGAAAUUCGCUGAUAGAUGGGCAUGCGUUCCAUUAGGUAGUUGGUGAGGUAACGGCUCACCAAGCCGACGAUGGAUAGGGGAACUGAGAGGUUGGUCCCCCACACUGGUACUGAGACACGGACCAGACUCCUACGGGAGGCAGCAGUGAGGAAUAUUGGUCAAUGGGCGGGAGCCUGAACCAGCCAAGUCGCGUGGAAAGGAAGAAGGAUCUAUGGUUCGUAAACUUCUUUUGCAGGGGAAUAAAGUGCAGGACGUGUCCUGUUUUGUAUGUACCCUGAGAAUAAGGAUCGGCUAACUCCGUGCCAGCAGCGGC
rnacentral:rRNA from 1 species